rnacentral:tRNA from 1 species
GUUAAAUAAAAUAUUAAGUUGUCAUCUUAAAGAAAAGUUUUCUUUUUAACU